UGAAGCUGUGAGUAGCAACUGGUCAGUCAGGUCAGUUGACUGUUUUAAAGGCAAGCAUAAGAAUAAGCAACCUGUUAGCCCAAGUGCGGCCAUUUUAUUAAUCCUCCUUCACAACCUCAUUAAAGUGAACGCAAUCCUGACCAAGUUGUGGGUUGGAGGCUCACGUGGUGGGAUCUGGGCAGGCAAUGUAAAAGGUCACGACUGUGGAGGCACUCGGUUAGAGGCUGGGGGCUUUGGGGGGCUUGUUUGUUCUGGUCUUGUUGGCCCAUGUCUUUCCACGUCUGAUUGUCUUAAUUGUUAAGAACUGGCCGUUGGGGAUUGAGUUUAUUGGUGCGUGUAGCAAGGACCUGCAGAGAGAUUUCAUUGCUACAGCUUUCAGGAGUCAAAGCUCCUUCAAAAUGGGAAAUGCUAAUUCAGUUCCCCCUCGUAGCCCUCCUGGCUGCAUUGUCCAAACUGGGUGCCUUUCAGUUAUAAGUCCAUGGAAAAGAAAGAAACAAGUGUUAUUUUUUUAUUUCUUAUUUUUGUAACACUGCAUGGCCAGGAGAUCUUUUAGACUCUGGAGCAAAAUAGCCUAAAAAUGAAUCCUUAAGUUGCAAUCCAAUCUUGCAAGUAGAUUUAUUUUAUAAACUAGAAGAAAAAUGGGAUGAAAUACCUUUUGUACAAUCUUUUGUGUUAUUGUGUCAGAAUAAACCUGUGCAAAGAAAAUGUAAGAUUAUGGCCCAGCAGGAAGGGAAGGCAAAGAAACCUGUUUUACUUGAUUCUAAUAAAAAGGAGGCCUUGCUGUUAAUUCAGUCUCAGGCUCUGCUCCUCCCCCACCCCCACAGCCAACACCUGAGCCACAGCCUCAGGCUCAUCGCCAAACCCUUCCCCCAACCCCACCCGCCGCCAGUCUCUGAGGGUCGAGAAAUAGGAGACAGAGGUGGUCUCCCCCUCUCAUACCGGCCGGGGAGCUACCCAAACUCAGGUGGGGCAGUAUUCCUUCAGGCAAGAGCCCACUGGGGGAUUUAAAUGCUGAAACUUGGGCAGCAAUGGUAUUGAUCUGGGUCCACUCCCCCUUUUCAAUUUCAAAUUUACUUAAUUGGAAGAAUAAUAUGCCAAUUUACAGAGAUGACCCAAAGGGAAUGGAAAACCUUUUUUUCUUCAGUUUCUUGCAGCCCACAACCCAACCUGGGCAGCUGAUUGAGUUUAUUAAAUAUCCUUAUUUCACAAGACUGUCGGAUGGUGCUGGAUAAAGCCAGGGAGGAGGCAGGUGGGCUUCAUGCAGAAACCCUGGCGGCCCGGUACAGGAUGCCAAAAGUGUAGCUGGACCAACAGUGGAUCCUAAUUGGAAUGUAAUGCUGGGGAGAGGCCAAACCUUGAACCCUAUCCAGGUCGCAUUCUUAAGGGAUUGUGAAGAAGGGCACCAGCACAAAGAAGCCUCAAUAAAGAACAGGAGGUAAAGAGAAACCAAAUGAAGAUCCUUCAGAAUUUCUAGAAAGGGUCGUUAGAGCACAUAGGCAUAUGCAGAUAUAGACCCUGAGGCCCCAGAGAAUUUAAAGAUGGUGAAUAUGACUUUCAUUGGUCAGAACUCCCCUGAUACACAGAGGAAAGUGCUAAAAGGUGGGAGGGGCUUUAGGAAUGCUGAUGUCUCAUCUUGUUGAAACUGCCUUCAAAAUUUUUAAUGGCAGAGACCAGACUCAGGAAAAAGGAUCAACAGAGAAUGAAACAGGCCACUCUGCUGGCAGCUGCCUUAACACAGGGGAGAGCUGGACCAAAUUGAGGACCCCUACGAGGGACUCAGCAAAAGGUACAGAGCAUUAGACUUAGAAUGGCAGUAAGGAGAAAUGGAAGGACUGUGAAAAUGAACUGCAACCCUAAGGAUAUUAGGGACCACCUCAGGAGCUGAAAAAUGAACAAACCUGGAAUGGGCAGAUUCCUUCACAUUCAUUUGACGUGGAAAUCAAAUCGUUUGGUUAGCAAGAAAAUUCCACCGUCAGCUGCUCAGAAUAUGUUGCUGAUUUUAUCCUCUGCAUCUUCAAGGUUUGGACCAAAUAUAAGUCCCUCGUCAAGAAUCUGUUGAUUCUAUCUUUCUGAUCAAUAGACAGUGGAAAGGAGAUUGUGUUGACGGUAGAAGCACAGACUACUGGGCUGUGGAGGUGCUGGUGAACUGAACGUGCCCCCCAGAUCUGAGGAAAGACCCUAAACAGAGAGACAGACAAGCGGGUGGUUCAUUCUUUCCACAACUACCUUAAGGUUGGGUCCUGUCUGUAACAGAUCUCUGCUAGAAGGUCCAUAUAACACACAGCUCUACUAGACAGGAGAAACUCACAGAAGAAACAGAGGCUGCCUCUUUGGAUACCAUGGACCUCAUGCCUGAGCGUAUUUGUUUAGUUUCUGCAGAAGUUUUGUGGAGAAACGUGGAGUAUGCUUUAUGUGACUGCAACACAGAACCUGGGCUCUCAAACGUUUAUGUGCGUCAGAAUCACCCAGAGGGCUUGUUAACGCACUGAUUGUGGGCCCACCCCUAGCCUUUCUGAUUCGGGACAUCGGAGUGGGAGUUGUGCAUCUGUCUAAGUUCCAGCGUGAUGCUGAGGCUACCCAUUGGAUACUGCCCCUCGAGCCCCACAGUCUAAUUCCUCACUUGAUUAGUUUCCGAGCUCUCUGAGGGCUGGCUUCUUUUCUCCUCCGGGGCUCUCAUGGGGUUGUGCAGCAAAUGAUUGAGAGUGAGUGAGUGAGGAAGCCAAGACACAGAGGGACAAAACGGCAGGCCCGAGUUGGGUACUUCUCUUUGUUUAGCCAGGCCAAAGUGGGGAACUAUUAAGGAGGUAAGAGUGGCCAGAGAGAUCUAUCAUUGUAAAUAUGAAAGGUACCAAAUUAUAGUUUACAACUAAUUAGAACUUGCACGAGUCGUUUAGAAAACCACUCCAAAGGAUGCUUUAGAAAUUUUCUUUAUCCUUUUUUCUGACUGCUGUGGCAAAAGUACUUAAUGGAAUUACCUUUACAAAUACAUUAAUUUAUUCUACCCUGAGGAUAUUAUAUUCAAUGAUUUGACAAAACUAAUCUGAGCUAAUAACAGACACACGUUUACUGAGACUAAGCACAUUUUCCAGUAGAGAGAUACCUAGCCAUUUGGAACAAAUGACAGUUGAGGUAUAAAGAUGAAAGAAUGGCUGUAAUGCCCAAAGGAGGUACCAGGGUGACUAAAACGCAAAGGUAAAAUGUGAGCCGACAAAGAAAACUCACAGGGGGCAAAAGGCCCACCACAACCGCUACCAGGAAAUUUUCAACCACUGACAGAUGCUCAGGUUCAAGAGGUCUGUCUCCAAAGGAUGCAUCAGCAAGAACCACACCUUCUCAGAGCACUUGGUUCCCUCCAGUGAAGUCAGGCAAUCACUGCCCUUAACUUCCAUUCUGCCAAUGAAUUACCCCAUGCAUACUGACCCUUAAAACAUUCUAAAUCUAUUCCACAGACCAGAGUUGAAAUCUCAAAGCCUAUAGGGAUCAAUAUAAGUAAGUGAAAUUAAGAGAAUAUAAGGUAGUAAUGGAAUUUGGUUAACCAAAUAGUCUACGUUCUGUUUAAAGGGGAAGCUCAGAUAAAUAAUGAGGUCCUACUGUAUAGCACAGGGAACUAUAUUCAAUACCUUGUAAUUGCCUAUAAUGAAAAAGAAAAAAAUAAAUACACAAUCACUAUGCUUUACCCCAGAAACACAACAUUGUAAAUCAACUAUAUUUCAAUUAAAAAAUAAAAAUAGUGCAGCUGAAAGAAAGAAAGCAAAUGUAGCAAAAUGUUAACAAUUAAAAAAAAUAAACGAGAAGCUCUUUCCCAGCUCCAGGAGAUUGUUUCACUGUGGAAGUGAUCCCAAUGUUACCAGCUCUCCCGAUGUUUUGAGAGGGAUCAGAGAUUGGAAUUUCACAUAAAGUUUCCUGACUGUUAAAACAGUGUGAUUCAAACAAAAUAUGUUUGCAGGUAGGAUGAGGCUGUCAGCCUUCCAUUUAGAACCUCUCCUUAGACUCUAGGAAAACAGGACAGGAAAGGACUUUCUAGUUACCUACUUCUGGGUAUGUCCUCUGUCCCUCUCACCCCCCUUGAAGAGCACUCCUUCUGUUUUAAAACUCUCUCAGGCUCAGAAUUCUUUCCCUAGUUCCUGAAGGACAAGCCAGGGAGAUCAUGUUUUCACCAGAAAGUCUUUGAUCACCCCAUAUGCUGAGAUACUGUCCAUUAGUGAUGUACUCGCCAUUGGUGGGGAGAGGGGUGGCUUGGUGUCACACAGUCUGAAGAUGACGAAACGGGUAGGCGCUUAGGUCCCCACACUCACCCUCACGUUCUCCUCACCCCUGUCAUUCCGUCUCUGGCUGCUGGAACAAUAUUCUGAAAAUGCAUGCAGGCUGUAAGAAAGAAGGUGCUUUGCCCAAUUACUUGGAGUAUGAAGACUAUCAAACCAGAGCUGGAGAAAACCAGAGCGUUGGGGGAAACAGAGCAAAACCAAACCAAACCCAAACUGAACCAAAGAAUUAAAAGGACUUGAAGAAAACUCUGCUUAAUUCUUCCAGGUCAGGUUCAAUUAAAGGACAGACAGCAGCCCUUGUACUAAUCCUGCAGGUCAGUGUGGUCUAAUGCUUCUAGUUCCUUCUCAUCCUCAUUUCUUAUUAAAGGAACAAGUGAGGAGAAGUGCAGGGGAUUGGGUAGACUUUUCUUGAGGGCUUAUUUUUCUAUUCAUUUACUGAAUCAAUAUUAACUUAUAUCUGUAAUGCAUGGAGCUUACAGUCUAUCAAGUGAGACAAUUAAAAAGCAACUUCAAAAAAGCAGACAAAUAAAAAAGCCAAUAAAUUAAAACAUGGAUUAUAAAAGUAUAAUCUGGCAAAUAAAAGUAUAAUCUGGAAAAUAAUCUGGAUAAUGCAAAUAAUUAUAGAGGAAAAUCACUUCACUCACAUGUAUAUGUUGUAUAUUUUGUGUUCAUACUCCCUACGUAGGGUAGAAGGAGAGGUGACGUCCUUUUUUGGAGGGAUUCCAACAGGGAGAGGCUACUAUGUUCACUAUAAGUCCCACGUAGGCAGUGGAGGGGUAGCUCUGGUGGUCCACUUUGUGCACUGACAGGGAGUGACAAACCCCAAGGUCCUGUGUACCUAGUGAUGCUGGGACCCUCUUCUGCCCUAGUGGAUUCCUGGAGCAGCUCUGAGUUCCCAGAGGAAAGAGAAACUCCAGGUACUGGUGGAAGUUGCAGCAAAAAUGUAAUUAUCCCACGGAAAGUGAUAUAUUUAGCAACUGAGCAAGAAAACCUGGGUGUCGUAGCUGGCAGCUGAAUCAAUGUUCAUUUCCAACAUCUUUCGGGAAGAUAACCUGCUGGCAAAGGAUCCAAGUUUAAACCUACUCUUUUCCCAUCCCCACCUCUGCCCCUGUGCUGUAGAGCAAGAGAACCCUGGACAGUCGGCUUGUAACACAACAGGACAGAUCAGGAAAGGUACGCAAGCAGCUCAGACUCUGGGAGAAAGCUCAGGCAGAGACUGGAGCAAACAGAGUCUUGGGUUGGUAUUUCAAAGAGGCGCUUGUUUUACUAAACAUCCUCAGAUCUGCUUCCUUGAAAAUCACUGAAUAAUGACUAUACUCAAAGUAAACUUCCAGAAAGUUCAUCAGAAGGCUCUGGGCCUGAGCCUGGACAUCACAUGUGUUUAUUGUGUGUGAGUGGCCAAGGCUCAUCCACUGUCUUCCUUCCUAUGGAUUCAGACAUUCACAGAGUCUUCUGUUCGACUGACAAAGUCCUGAGUUAAAAGGCUUUCAGAUAAUCAUAUGUCAGUAGUUUUGAAAUCUUUUUCAACCUCCCUUUUGAAA